rnacentral:rRNA from 1 species
ACAGCAGUAGCCACGGGAAUACGGAGGGUGCAAGCGUUAAUCGGAAUUACUGGGCGUAAAGCGCACGCAGGCGGUCUGACAAGUCAGAUGUGAAAUCCCCGGGCUUAACCUGGGAACUGCAUUUGAAACUGUCAGGCUGGAGUCUUGUAGAGGGGGGUGGAAUUCCAGGUGUAGCGGUGAAAUGCGUAGAGAUCUGGAGGAAUACCGGUGGCGAAGGCGGCCCCCUGGACAAAGACUGACGCUCAGGUGCGAAAGCGUGGGGAGCAAACAGGAUUAGAUACCCCCGUAGUCCCUGUCCCUUAUAC